rnacentral:tRNA from 1 species
GUUCUUGUAGUUGAAUACAACGAUGGUUUUUCAAGUCAUAGGUCUCGGUUAAAGUCCGAGUAGGAAUA